rnacentral:piRNA from 1 species
UACUAUUCUGUUUUUGAAAACUUUAAGGUA